rnacentral:rRNA from 1 species
UACGGAGGGUGCAAGCGUUAUCCGGAUUCACUGGGUUUAAAGGGUGCGUAGGUGGGCAGGUAAGUCAGUGGUGAAAUCUCCGAGCUUAACUCGGAAACUGCCGUUGAUACUAUUUGUCUUGAAUAUCGUGGAGGUAAGCGGAAUAUGUCAUGUAGCGGUGAAAUGCUUAGAUAUGACAUAGAACACCGAUAGCGAAGGCAGCUUACUACGCGAUCAUUGACACUGAGGCACGAAAGCGUGGGGAUCAAACAGG